AUUGAACGCUGGCGGCAUGCCUUACACAUGCAAGUCGAACGGCAGCACGGGAGCAAUCCUGGUGGCGAGUGGCGAACGGGUGAGUAAUAUAUCGGAACGUGCCCAGUCGUGGGGGAUAACGCAGCGAAAGCUGUGCUAAUACCGCAUACGAUCUAAGGAUGAAAGCGGGGGAUCGCAAGACCUCGCGCGAUUGGAGCGGCCGAUAUCAGAUUAGCUAGUUGGUGGGGUAAAGGCCCACCAAGGCGACGAUCUGUAGCUGGUCUGAGAGGACGACCAGCCACACUGGAACGGAGACACGGUCCAGACUCCUACGGGAGGCAGCAGUGGGGAAUUUUGGACAAUGGGCGCAAGCCUGAUCCAGCAAUGCCGCGUGCAGGAUGAAGGCCUUCGGGUUGUAAACUGCUUUUGUACGGAACGAAACGGCCCCUUCUAAUACAGGGAGCUAAUGACGGUACCGUAAGAAUAAGCACCGGCUAACUACGUGCCAGCCGCCGCGGUAAUAC
rnacentral:rRNA from 1 species